GACAGAGGGGGCAAGCGUUGCUCGGAAUUACUGGGCGUAAAGGGCGCGUAGGCGGGAUGGCAAGUCGGUCGUGAAAUCCCUCGGCUCAACUGAGGAGCGUCGGUCGAAACUGCCGUUCUUGAGGGUUGCAGAGGAGACUGGAAUUCCCGGUGUAGCGGUGAAAUGCGUAGAUAUUGGGAGGAACACCUGUGGCGAAAGCGGCGCACUGGACCACUUCUGACGCUGAGGCGCGAAAGCUAGGGGAGCAAACAGG
rnacentral:rRNA from 1 species